rnacentral:rRNA from 1 species
CAAGUCGAGCGGGAUUUCUUUUGGUAGCAAUACCGAGAGAAAUUCAGCGGCGAACGGGUGCGUAACACGUGGGCAAUUUGCCUUAAAGUGUGGGAUAGCUCGGCGAAAGCCGAAUUAAUACCGCAUGUGGCUACUGGAGACAUCUUCGGGACGCUAAAGGUGGCGCAAGCUACCGCUUUUUGAGAAGCCCGCGGCCUAUCAGCUUGUUGGUGAGGUAACGGCUCACCAAGGCUAUGACGGGUAGCUGGUCUGAGAGGACGACCAGCCACACUGGGACUGAGACACGGCCCAGACACCUACGGGUGGCAGCAGUCGAGAAUUUUUGACAAUGGGGGAAACCCUGAUCGAGCGACGCCGCGUGGAGGAUGAAGGUCUUCGGGUUGUAAACUCCUGUCAUUUGGGAACAAGGCGCGGCUAUUAACUGUAGCCGCGUUGAUAGUACCAGAAGAGGAAGAGACGGCUAACUCUGUGCCAGCAGCCGCGGUAAUACAGAGGUCUCAAGCGUUGUUCGGAUUCAUUGGGCGUAAAGGGUGUGUAGGUGGCGCGCUAAGUCGGGUGUGAAAUUUCGGAGCUUAACUCCGAAACUGCAUUCGAUACUGGCGUGCUUGAGGACUGGAGAGGAGACUGGAAUUUACGGUGUAGCAGUGAAAUGCGUAGAUAUCGUAAGGAAGACCAGUGGCGAAGGCGGGUCUCUGGACAGUUCCUGACACUGAGACACGAAGGCCAGGGGAGCAAACGGGAUUAGAUACCCCGGUAGUCCUGGCAGUAAACGGUGCACGUUUGGUGUGGGAGGAUUCGACCCCUUCUGCGCCGGAGCCAACGCGUUAAACGUGCCGCCUGGGGAGUACGGUC